rnacentral:hammerhead_ribozyme from 1 species
AUUCAGCUAAUGUGCUCCAAAUAGAACGAAACGCGCGUCCUGGAU